GACACAGAAAUGACCACCCCUCAAACCAACACUCUGCCCCAAUUACCUUCCAGGCUGACCCCGUUCCUCCUUCAUCCCCCUAACUUGCAGGGCGCUAGGGACACAGAAGCGAGGCCCCGACCCCAGGGAGCCCUCCCUCCCAUCUAGCGCACCGCCUCGGCGGGAAGGAAGCCCGUGGUUUGCGCGCUGAGCAGCCUCCCCACUCCCGCCCUGCCCAGCGCCGCCGUUUCACUUCCUCCCGGCCCUCCCUGCCUGCAGGAGUAUCUCUGUGCCCGGGUCCCCGGGCCACGCCAUGGCUGACACCUACGCGGUGGUGCAGAAGCGCGGGGCUCCAGUGGGCGCCGGGCGUGGGACGGAGACGGGGACGGGGGCGCGCAGCGCGGAGGAGGCGCCGCUCUACAGCCAGGUGACGCCGCGCGCCCAGCGGCCCGGGGCACACGCGGAGGACGUGCGGGGGACGCUGCCUUGCCGCAUUCCUGCUGACCAAAGUCCUGCCGGAUCUAGCGCCUACGAGGACGUGGUGGGUGGAGCUCAGACCGGUGGGCUAGGUUUCAACCUGCGCAUUGGGAGGCCGAAGGGGCCCCGGGACCCGCCUGCUGAGUGGACCCGGGUGUAAGUCUACGCCAGCUCCUGCCUGUUGCCUCUUGUGAGCUCGGGCUGCUGAUGCCCCAGCGCUGCUGAGCGCCGUGUGCAGAAUGGAAACAGUGGGCCUGGAUCAAAGUAAAAGUGUCUCAGGGUGGGAAAUGUGGGGGCUUUGCCCCAGUGACUGUAGCAUUCAAGGCUUGAGGCUGGAGGAGGUAGCUAGCGUAUAAUGGCUGGUGAGGCUGCACAGAGCAUAUUCAAGAAAGAAGAUCAGGAAGGGGCAUGACCCCGAGUUAUGAAGGGGAGAAGGGACAGAUGAGCUUCCAGAGACUGCUCUCUUCACCACAUAGCACUAGUCCAUCCUCAGCACCUGAGCCUCCCUCAUUUGGACACUCAGGGGACCACACAGAGAAGUGGAUGGACACUUCGCCAUCCAGGCGGAACUAAGCCAGGCAUAACCACAGCCAAGCAGAUUAACCCCAGGCAGACCGAUAAAAAGACCUCCAGAUAGGCAGACAGAUGGACCACCAACCUUUACAGACAGCCAAACCUUCAGAGAUACAGUCCACAGGUGGACGAAGGGACCCCCAGCCAGAGAGAGAGAGACCAGCCAACAGCUUGAUAGACCAGUGCAGCCAGAGACACCACCAAACAGAGCCCCCAAAAGACAGACACCUCUGCUAGCUGGACAGCCAGGUGGACCCCCUAAGUUAGACAGAUUACUAGACAGAUAUAAACAGAUCCCCUGCUGAACAGACACACAGAGUUCUCAGACCCCACCCCCACCCUCAGGUGGG
rnacentral:sRNA from 1 species